UGGGGAAUAUUGGACAAUGGGGGAAACCCUGAUCCAGCCAUGCCGCGUGAGUGAUGAAGGCCUUAGGGUUGUAAAGCUCUUUUACCAGGGAAGAUGAUGACGGUACCUGGAGAAUAAGCACCGGCUAACUUCGUGCCAGCAGCCGCGGUAAUACGAAGGGUGCUAGCGUUGUUCGGAAUCACUGGGCGUAAAGCGCGCGUAGGCGGCUUUUCAAGUCAGGGGUGAAAUCCUUGGGCUCAACCCAAGAAUUGCCUUUGAAACUGUAAAGCUGGAGUGUCGGAGGGGAUAGCGGAAUUCCUAAUGUAGUGGUGAAAUACGUAGAUAUUAGGAGGAACACCGGUGGCGAAGGCGGCUAUCUGGACGACAACUGACGCUGAGGCGCGAAAGCGUGGGGAUCAAACAGGAUUAGAUACCCCGGUAGUCC
rnacentral:rRNA from 1 species